AUGACGAGCACGCUGAUGUCGUCGGAGGAGCCCCUGGACACGGCCAUGUCGACGAGCCGGCGGCACGCGGCGGGCAGGUCGCCGGAGGAGGCGGCGGCGGCGUCGACGGCCUCCUGGUUGCCCACCUUGUCCCACAGCCCGUCGGAGGCGAGGAUGAGCAGCUCGCAGUCGGCGCCCAAGUCGACGGUUCUAGUCUCCGGCUCCGCCACCACCCACGGCUUGAGGUGCGCGUCGCCGAUGCCCCGGGUCACCGCCAGCGAGCCCUGCACCCGCCAUACGCCGCGGCAGUUGAGCACCAGCCCGCCUUUCAGCGCCUCGAUCCGGUCCCGCUCGUCCUGCCGCGACGCGCGGUGGUCGUCGGUGAGCGCCUCCGCCCUGCCGCCGCGGCUCAGGACCGCGCGGCAGUCCCCGGCGCCGGACACCACCAGCUGCCGCCCGCCCUCGCGGAGCAGCGCCGUCACGCAGCAGGCGCCCCCGCCCGCCUGCUCCCGGUUCUUGGAGGAGGUGGAGGAGAACUCCUCGUCGGUGCGCAGGUACGCCCGCCGCACGGCGCCCUCCACCGCCGCGCGCCCUGCCCCUCCGCCGCGCGCCGACCUCUCCAGCUCCUCCGCCACGAUCCGUGGCAUGUUCUCCGCGGCGAACUCCGCGGCGCUCUUCCCUCCGUGGCCGUCGAACACGGCGAAGAGGGCCUGCGCGCGGUCCCCGCCGAGCGCGACGGCGGCGACGUGGCGGUCCUCCAUCUCGACCCGCUUCCGGCCCUUCCCCCUCCGGCAGAAGGCCGCGAAGCCGUCGCCCUGCUCCGCCACCUCGUCCACCCCGCUCGCCGCGGCGGCCUCCAGCACCGCCGGCGCGACGGUGACCGCGGCCGGAACUAGCAGAGGCGCCGGGCGCCUGCGCUUGACCGGGGCCUUAGCCGGAGCAACAGAAGAAGAAUCCUCAGCCUUGACGGCGGGCAGCGGCGGGGCGGCGCACGGGGAGGGGUCGGGGUGGAUGCGCGCGCGGAGGUGGGCGAAGGGGCGGAGCGGCGAGGAGGGGAGGAAGGAGGCGCCGCUGCUGGAGCAGCCGUGGUGGUGGUGGUGGUGGAGCUGCUGCUCCAACUGCUGGAGCAGGCCGAGGCGGGACGGCGAGAAGACCGGCGAGCCCGGUGCCACCGCGCACGCCAUGUAUCCUUCCCUUGCUUUCCUCGCUUGCCUUGCUCACUCGCUCUGCCAAGUUGCUCUGCGGCGAGACCGAGAACUCCUAGCUCCUCCUCCUCUUCUUGCUGCUGCUUCGAUGGUGAGCUCUUUUCUUGUUACUCCAUUGAUGGGCUCCUCGUAUAUGUAG
rnacentral:rRNA from 1 species